rnacentral:rRNA from 1 species
GUGGAUUAGAUACCCUGGUAGUCCACACCGUAAACGAUGAAUACUAGGUGUAGGUUAUGUCAUGUAAUCUGUGCCGUCGCAAACGCAAUAAGUAUUCCACCUGGGGAGUACGGCCGCAAGGUUGAAACUCAAAGGAAUUGACGGGGGCCCGCACAAGCAGUGGAGUAUGUGGUUUAAUUCGAAGCAACGCGAAGAACCUUACCAGGGCUUGACAUAUACAGGAAUAUAUAAGAGAUUAUAUAGCUCUUCGGAGUCUGUAUACAGGUGGUGCACGGCUGUCGACAGCU